UACGGAGGAUGCGAGCGUUAUCCGGAUUUAUUGGGUUUAAAGGGUGCGUAGGCUGUCCGGUAAGUCAGGGGUGAAAUACCGCCGCUCAACGGCGGGACUGCCCUUGAUACUGUCGGUCUGGAGUACGGAUGCCGUUGGAGGAAUGAGUGGUGUAGCGGUGAAAUGCAUAGAUAUCACUCAGAACACCGAUUGCGAAGGCAUCUGACGAAUCCGUCACUGACGCUGAGGCACGAAAGCGUGGGGAUAGAAC
rnacentral:rRNA from 1 species